UUAUUCCCAAUUUGAUAAGCAUGACUACUAUAGCACUCACGUUUAGUUUUAGUCGCUUAUUCGCAGUUUAUUUUCUGCUGAAAGCGAGGAGACACAUGACGGCCGGCAUCGGCCUCAGAGACUGGAUAUCCACGUCGGACAAUCGGGGCUCUGGAUGCGGGGCUCUCUAUGACCGCGAAGGCAUGCCGCAGCUCCACACAGAUACAUACUGCAACUGAGCUGAUGUCUAUCUGAUAGAUACGCAAAGUGACUGUAGCUGGGACCAGAACAAAAAACCUGAAUGAAAUCAUUUUCAAAGGAAAUGGCUAACACUGUGUGAAAUACUUUUACACCAGAAACCAAUAUGUUUUGCAAAGGACAGCUAACAGACAAAAAAUGACCAGAAGGUCAUUUUGUGACUCUUCAUGGAUCAAGGGGCUGCAUGGAUGCAACAUGGUGAACUAGUGUCUGCAGGAGCCAAUGAGGGACUAGCAGAUAUUGCAUGAAAAUCCUCCAUUAUUCAGAAUUUAACAGCCUAUGCUCCUUGGAGAAGACACCUCAGGUACAGGCAUUUCAGAGGGAUUAUGGGUCAUAACAGAAACAAAGACACAAUGUCCAGAAGUCCAAAAAAAAUCACCUUAACAUUCCUAAAGAAUAUGCAUGGCCAACGCUGAACUUUGAGCACGGCCCCAUGCCACCACUCUACUGUCUUACUUUGCAAUCAGGACUGAAAAGCAGCAUGUGCUUCUGCUUACUGAGAGUCUGUUUUUCCUCCCUUGUUUCCCCUAAGCUGAAAUCCCCUUUGAGGGAGUUUAUCGUGACCAUGUGAUGCAAACAGAGGCAGUCUUAUUCAGCGAAACCCCUGCCACAUGCAGUUAAAUCACAUUGGACAUCGCUGACGUCUUCAUCAAAACUCAUUUUGAUUAUUUAUAUACAGAAAAGUACAUGGAAUGGCAUGGCAGCUCUCUCGGUAUUGCUGUUGCCUUACACCACCAGGGAUGGGGUCUGAAUCCCACCUCUGUGUUGUAUGGCAUCAGGCUGACUGGCAUCUCUGAAUUUCCCAACGAAUAUGACUGUGUGUAUACAUGUAUGUGGCUUGACAACCUAUCUAGAGUGAAAUCUUGCCUUGUGCUGAAUGUUUUAUAUUACUGGUUACAGGACCAGGAUAAGUGGGUAGAAGAUAGAUAGAGGAGACUUUCGGGAAAAAGUUUUUUUUUUUUUUUUUUUAACACGCCACAUGGUGGAUUCCAUACCACAAAUAAAUUCAGUGUAAAAAAACGUGCUAUUUAAUAAAGCAAACUAAACCAUACUAUUUAUUUUAAUAAAGAUAACAAUAAAGCAUGUACGAAAUAUAGGCUCGACAGUCAAAAAAAAUAGCAAAAUGUAAGGUAGUAAGUUACGAUUUUACCCCCACCGGCUCUGCCUUUUCAAUGUCCUUUAAAAUUUGUGUACGAUACGUUUACGGACUUCCUUUAGCAACCUUCGCAUCGUCUACAAACUUGCUGCGGCGC